rnacentral:lncRNA from 1 species
GCUCCUUGGAUUAGUUUUUCUAAGGCAUCGUAUAAUCCAUCGAAAUACAGAUAACCGAAAAUUUAAUCUACCAAAAAUCAUUCCAUUUGCAACCAGACAGAAAGCAAACACAGGUUCAUCAUGUCAAAACUGACCUUUCAAGCAUUUUCGUAUUGCAGACCCAAUUUUUUGUUAAUUAAGAUAGGAGUAAUAUCUGAGAGUCCAUUAUAUGUAAUAUUGCUGCUCAUUUCGGCUA